AGUGAACGCUGGCGGUAGGCCUAACACAUGCAAGUCGAACGGCAGCACAGUAAGAGCUUGCUCUUACGGGUGGCGAGUGGCGGACGGGUGAGGAAUACAUCGGAAUCUAUUUUUUCGUGGGGGAUAACGUAGGGAAACUUACGCUAAUACCGCAUACGACCUACGGGUGAAAGCAGGGGAUCUUCGGACCUUGCGCGAUUGAAUGAGCCGAUGUCGGAUUAGCUAGUUGGCGGGGUAAAGGCCUACCAAGGCGACGAUCCGUAGCUGGUCUGAGAGGAUGAUCAGCCACACUGGAACUGAGACACGGUCCAGACUCCUACGGGAGGCAGCAGUGGGGAAUAUUGGACAAUGGGCGCAAGCCUGAUCCAGCCAUACCGCGUGGGUGAAGAAGGCCUUCGGGUUGUAAAGCCCUUUUGUUGGGAAAGAAAAGCAGCAGGUUAAUACCCCGCUGUUCUGACGGUACCCAAAGAAUAAGCACCGGCUAACUUCGUG
rnacentral:rRNA from 1 species